rnacentral:rRNA from 1 species
CUCGUAGGCGGUUAUUUAAGUGAGUUGUGAAAGACCUGGGCUUAACCGAGGCAUUGCAAUUUAUACUGGGUAGCUUGAGUAUUGGAGAGGGAAGUAGAAUUUCCGGUGUAGCGGUGAAAUGCGUAGAGAUCGGAAAGAAUACCGGUGGCGAAGGCGGCUUCCUGGCCAAAGACUGACGCUGAAGAGCGAAGGCGUGGGUAGCGAACA